CGGACGGGUGAGUAAUGCGUGAGCAACCUGCCUACAAAUGGGGAAUAACACACCGAAAGGUGUGCUAAUACCGCAUAACAUAGCGUCUUGGCAUCAAGAUGUUAUCAAAGAUUUUAUCGUUUGUAGAUGGGCUCGCGUCUGAUUAGCUAGUUGGUGAGGUAAUGGCUCACCAAGGCGACGAUCAGUAGCCGAACUGAGAGGUUGAUCGGCCACAUUGGGACUGAGACACGGCCCAGACUCCUACGGGAGGCAGCAGUGGGGAAUAUUGGGCAAUGGGCGCAAGCCUGACCCAGCAACGCCGCGUGAAGGAUGAAGGUCUUCGGAUUGUAAACUUUUGUCUUAUGGGAAGAAAAAAAUGACGGUACCAUAGGAGGAAGCUCCGGCUAACUACGUGCCAGCAGCCGCGGUAAUACGUAGGGAGCAAGCGUUGUCCGGAUUUACUGGGUGUAAAGGGCGUGUAGGCGGGUAAUUAAGUCUGAUGUGAAAUACCGAGGCUCAACCUCGGGGCUGCAUUGGAAACUGAUUAUCUUGAGUGUGGGAGAGGAAAGUGGAAUUCCUAGUGUAGCGGUGAAAUGCGUAGAUAUUAGGAGGAACACCAGUGGCGAAGGCGACUUUCUGGACCAUAACUGACGCUGAGGCGCGAAAGCGUGGGGAGCAAACAGGAUUAGAUACCCUGGUAGUCCACGCUGUAAACGAUGAAUACUAGGUGUAGGGGGUAUCGAAUCCUCCUGUGCCGGAGUUAACACAAUAAGUAUUCCACCUGGGGAGUACGACCGCAAGGUUGAAACUCAAAGGAAUUGACGGGGGCCCGCACAAGCAGUGGAGUAUGUGGUUUAAUUCGAAG
rnacentral:rRNA from 1 species